UGUGCCUACGGGGCGCAGCAGUAGGGAAUCCUCCACAAUGGGCGAAAGCCUGAUGGAGCAACGCCGCGUGGGUGAAGAAGGUCUUCGGAUCGUAAAACCCUGUUGUUAGAGAAGAAAGUGCGUGAGAGUAACUGUUCACGUUUCGACGGUAUCUAACCAGAAAGCCACGGCUAACUACGUGCCAGCAGCCGCGGUAAUACGUAGGUGGCAAGCGUUAUCCGGAUUUAUUGGGCGUAAAGGGAACGCAGGCGGUAUUUUAAGUCUGAUGUGAAAGCCUUCGGCUUAACCGGAGGAAGGCAUUGGAA
rnacentral:rRNA from 1 species